UACUCGAGUGGCGAACGGGUGAGUAACACGUGGGUGAUCUGCCCUGCACUUUGGGAUAAGCCUGGGAAACUGGGUCUAAUACCGAAUAUGACCGCGCACUUCCUGGUGUGUGGUGGAAAGCUUUUGCGGUGUGGGAUGGGCCCGCGGCCUAUCAGCUUGUUGGUGGGGUAAUGGCCUACCAAGGCGACGACGGGUAGCCGGCCUGAGAGGGUGACCGGCCACACUGGGACUGAGAUACGGCCCAGACUCCUACGGGAGGCAGCAGUGGGGAAUAUUGCACAAUGGGCGCAAGCCUGAUGCAGCGACGCCGCGUGAGGGAUGACGGCCUUCGGGUUGUAAACCUCUUUCAAUAGGGACGAAGCGCAAGUGACGGUACCUAUAGAAGAAGGACCGGCCAACUACGUGCCAGCAGCCGCGGUAAUACGUAGGGUCCGAGCGUUGUCCGGAAUUACUGGGCGUAAAGAGCUCGUAGGUGGUUUGUCGCGUUGUYCGUGAAAACUCACAGCUUAACUGUGGGCGUGCGGGCGAUACGGGCAGACUAGAGUACUGCAGGGGAGACUGGAAUUCCUGGUGUAGCGGUGGAAUGCGCAGAUAUCAGGAGGAACACCGGUGGCGAAGGCGGGUCUCUGGGCAGUAACUGACGCUGAGGAGCGAAAGCGUGGGGAGCGAACAGGAUUAGAUACCCUGGUAGUCCACGCCGUAAACGGUGGGUACUAGGUGUGGGUUUCCUUCCUUGGGAUCCGUGCCGUAGCUAACGCAUUAAGUACCCCGCCUGGGGAGUACGGCCGCAAGGCUAAAACUCAAAGAAAUUGACGGGGGCC
rnacentral:rRNA from 1 species